CAGAAAAAGCUCAACCCCACUUCUACUACCUUCUUGAUAUUGAUUCGCAGGCUUAUUUCUGCUGGGCUUACUCGCCAAGCAAUACGUGCAUUCGACGACAUCGAUAAUUUCGUGGAGGAGAAGGUGAGUUCUGAGGUUUUCUGUUAUUUGCUGGAUACCCUUUGUAAGUACGGGUAUGUGAAAGUCGCCGUUGAAGUUUUUAACAAAAACAAGCACAGGUUUGCGCCUGAUGCGAAAAUGUACACGGUUUUGAUAUAUGGUUGGUGUAAAAUAGGCCGAAUUAAAAUGGCGGAGGGGUUCUUGAAGGACAUGGUGGAGAAAGGACUUGAGCCUAGUGUCGUUACGUAUAAUGUAUUGCUGAAUGGAAUUUGUAGGCGGGCAAGUUUACAUCCGGAAGAAAGAUUUGAAAGGACAAUAAGAAAUGCUGAUAACUUGUUUGAUGAAAUGCACAAGAGAGGGAUUGAGCCAGAUGUUACUAGCUUCUCCAUUGUGCUCCAUGUCUAUAGCCGGGCACAUAAACCACAGCUGUCCCUAGAUAAAUUAAGAUUGAUGCAGGAGAAAGGAAUCUGCCCAACAGUAGCGACAUAUACUUCUGUUAUUAAAUGUCUUUGUUCCUGUGGCUGGCUUGAAGAUGCUGAGGAGUUGCUCAAUGAGAUGGUAAGGAAUGGGAUAAGUCCAUGUGCUGCAACCUAUAACUGCUUCUAUAAGGAAUACAGGGGCAGAAAGGAUGCAGAUAGUGCUUUGAAGCUGUUCAAGAAAAUGAAGGAAGAUGGUUUUUGCAUGCCCACCAUGCAAACAUAUAACAUAUUGAUUGUUAUGUUUUUGAAUUAAAUAAAAUCGAGGCUGUGAAACAACUAUGGAAUGACAUGAAAGAAACUGGGGUCGGACCAGAUUUAGAUUCCUAUACACUACUAAUAAAUGGACUGUGUAAGAACCAAAACUGGAGGCAGGCUUGCAGUUUUUUUGUUGAGAUGAUAGAGAAUGGGUUUCUUCCACAGAAAGUUACUUUUGAGACCCUUUACAAAGGCUUAAUACAAUCUGAUAUGUUGAGAACUUGGAGAAGAUUGAAGAAGAAGCUUGAUGAGGAAUCAAUAACAUUUGGUUCGGAGUUCCAAAAGUACCAUUUUAAGCCCUAUAGGAGAUGAUUUGAUAUCUAUGGAAAUAUGCAGAGUUGUUUAAAGCUGCUAUGCACAAGCUGGCGGUUGAUGGAUCUGAAGAUUUCGUGCUGGUGAAUACUCAAUUGUUGGGCACUUAGAGGCACGGGGGAUUUUAACAGGUCACAACUGGUAAAGAAGAGAACAAAAGGCGCAUAAUAUGGUUGUCACUGUCAGUGUAGCAUUACAUGCAGGAUCCGUAUUCUCCAGUCAAGAGAUGAGAGAUACCACCUGCAGGAUGAAGAAGUUCUUGCUUGGAAUUUAGGAUCGUUAGAAACAGAGGUUAAGCCAAGAAAUGCAGCGUGAGGGAGAUCAAGACGCGUAGGCGUAGCUCAGUGAAAAUGAGAAAGAUGGCAAUAGUUUGGUUGCUGUUGCUGGAUAAUUGUUUUGACGUGGGUAGAGGUGUUCAAAGCCAGUCCGUCCCGGUUAGCUUGUUCCGGUCCUGGUCUUAUUGGGACAGGACGGGUCCUUUUCAAAAUUUUUUGGAACAGGAUAAACCGGAACGGGACAAAAAAAGGGAUCGGGAUGGA